rnacentral:lncRNA from 1 species
GGACAGAACUGGAAUGUCACAGAAUGCCAUGAUGUCACCAAAGCACUCCUUGUGCUCCUUUGCCUUAGGUCUUCUCUUCCUUCUGAUGCCAGAAACUCUGCCUGUAUUUCAUACACCCCAAAAAUAUCUUCAGAACAGCACUUACAGAGCUCAGAAGUGCUACCAGUGUGUCUGUGCCUGCAGUGAUGCACAGACCCAGAAGACUCAAUGACACCAUUCCUUGAGCCACCCCUCUGCUCACAAGGUGACCACCAGCAGCAGUUUGACUUCACAUUGUAUUCUGCAGCUCUUGAGCAGACUUCAACACAGCACUUUACAUGCAAACUCAGUACAAGAGCAACUGUGAUUUAGAAGUACCUGCUAUCUCUUUGGACCUUGUAAUGCAGCAGUCUCAGCAUCGUUUCUUACUUCAAUUCCCACACUGAGUUCACAGGUAGCUCAAUUCUCCAGGCCAUUGUGUUGUGGCUACAGCUGUAAAGUGGCUGUAGCUGUAAAAGAUGGAUAUUUUUCCAAGUUUGAAAAAAAGAAACACUCCAACACUCAGAUUCUUUCCUAUGAAGAACACAUUUCUUACUAGUUGUCAUAAAGGUGUGGGAAAAUGGAAGUUUGCAGGAAAUGCUAUAAUUCCCUGUGGCAGCAUCUACACAAAGAGGAAACAGUCCCUUGGUCACAUGUUUUAAGCCAAUAGUCCCUUUCUUCUGCCUUUCCCAAAUUAUGCUUCCUGUUAGAAUACCCCAAUCUGUGAAUGAUUAUCAAACCACACUGACUUAUAUAUCAUUUUCCUUUUCAUUAGCAUGAAGAUCUAAGAGAUUUCUUUGUGUCUUUCUAUAAAAAUACAUUAACAUAAAAUGAAAUCCAGUAGGCCUGAGCUCUGUACUGUAUUUAACUGCCCUGCUUCACUAAAAAACCUCUCUGCAUCUGUCCACUGCUGACACAUUUUAAGAGCUCAUUUUUUGUAUUGCUGAGAAGCAGCCUUCAGCACAGCUUUAGCUGGUGCAUGCAUCAGAGAAAGGGAAAAUCUGAGAUGGAUAAACAAAACACAGGAACAAUCUAUAAUAAUAAAACAAAUUCUCCUGUAAUUCUUGUGACAGCCUGAAAAUGUGUUAGAUAAAACAUUUUAGAGAUCUAUAAUAAUGAGUAGGAGUUUGUGUCCUGAACACAGGACUCGUCUGUCUGCCAAGACAGACAAUUGCAAAUGAAAAAC